rnacentral:rRNA from 1 species
GUAGGUGGCAAGCGUUGUCCGGAAUUAUUGGGCGUAAAGCGCGCGCAGGCGGUUCUUUAAGUCUGAUGUGAAAGCCCACGGCUCAACCGUGGAGGGUCAUUGGAAACUGGAGAACUUGAGUACAGAAGAGGAAAGCGGAAUUCCACGUGUAGCGGUGAAAUGCGUAGAGAUGUGGAGGAACACCAGUGGCGAAGGCGGCUUUCUGGUCUGUAACUGACGCUGAGGCGCGAAAGCGUGGGGAGCAAACAGGGAUUAGAUACCCUGGUAGUCCACGCCGUAAACGAUGAGUGCUAAGUGUUAGGGGGUUUCCGCCCCCUUAGUGCUGCAGCUAACGCAUUAAGCACUCCGCCUGGGGAGUACGGCCCGCAAGGCUG